rnacentral:rRNA from 1 species
UGGGGAAUAUUGGGCAAUGGGCGAAAGCCUGACCCAGCGACGCCGCGUGAGGGAAGAAGGUCUUCGGAUUGUAAACCUUAGUUAGCAGGGAAGAAGAAAGUGACGGUACCUGCAGAGAAAGCCACGGCUAACUACGUGCCAGCAGCCGCGGUAAUACGUAGGUGGCGAGCGUUAUCCGGAAUUACUGGGUGUAAAGGGUGUGUAGGCGGGCUCGCAAGUUGGAUGUGUAAUACCCAGAGCUUAACUCGGGUGCUGCAUCUGAAACUACGAGUCUUGAGUGUCGGAGAGGUAAGUGGAAUUCCUAGUGUAGCGGUGGAAUGCGUAGAUAUUAGGAGGAACAUCAGUGGCGAAGGCGACUUACUGGACGAUAACUGACGCUGAGGCACGAAAGCGUGGGGAGCAAACAGGAUUAGAUACCCUGGUAGU